CGCUAACAAGAUUACUUAGCCAGGGCUAAUUCUGCAUUUGCUGAAGUGCAGUAUCCAGGAACUCACAGAACAUCAUCGCAGGAGGAUGCUGAUAACCAAUAUUGUUUUACAGCUAAGGCUCUCCAAGUGACUCAGGCAACCACCUCCAGAUGAGAGCAAUUGCCUGCUGGAGGUGCCCAUUUUUCUCCAUUGAUGGUAAAUGAGAUCUGAGUGCUCAGUGCAGAUGCCGAGACCUGGGUGCCAUCAGGUACUAAACCAUACCCGUCGUCUCUGCACAUGAGAAAGGGGGUCAGCUCUACACAGGGAAUUCACACAUUUGAUAUCCACCACCUCAGUGCCUGGAAAAUGACCAAACAGAUUUUGAAGUCACAUAAGUGAAACAGGCAGGCAUGAGGAGAAACUUGAGUGUCUGAGGUUUGUUUCCUUGAAAAACAAAGCGUUCAUUCAAAACAUUCAGCUGCCCUCAUGACUUCACCCUCAACAUCUGAAAGCACCAAAAUCUCCCUCAAAAAUAUGUUCAAGUCACACUGAAAAUUCAAGGGACUCCCUCUAGCAAGUGCUCUGGUUUUCUCCAGCUGUAGAAAGCCAAAACACAUCCCACUCCUGUUCCUUCAAAGAUCAGUCCACUAGCCAAGGGGUUGGAUUGUGCAGACAGCCCUGUGCCUUGGGCACUUUGGAAGGAGCUGAGAGUCUUGAACUCGAUUUCCAAGAAAGAAUUUCCAUGCAUGUUCCAAUUUUAA